UAGGGAAUCUUCCACAAUGGACGAAAGUCUGAUGGAGCAACGCCGCGUGAGUGAAGAAGGGUUUCGGCUCGUAAAACUCUGUUGUUAAAGAAGAACAUAUCUGAGAGUAACUGUUCAGGUAUUGACGGUAUUUAUCCAGAAAGCCACGGCUAACUACGUGCCAC
rnacentral:rRNA from 1 species